AUUGAACGCUGGCGGCAUGCCUUACACAUGCAAGUCGAACGGCAGCACGGGGCAACCUGGUGGCGAGUGGCGAACGGGUGAGUAAUGCAUCGGAACGUACCUUUCAGUGGGGGAUAACGUAGCGAAAGUUACGCUAAUACCGCAUAUUCUGUGAGCAGGAAAGCAGGGGAUCGCAAGUCCUUGCGCUGAUUGAGCGGCCGAUGUCAGAUUAGCUAGUUGGUGAGGUAAAGGCUCACCAAGGCGACGAUCUGUAGCGGGUCUGAGAGGAUGAUCCGCCACACUGGAACUGAACCACGGUCCAGACUCCUACGGGAGGCAGCAGUGGGGAAUUUUGGACAAUGGGGGCAACCCUGAUCCAGCCAUGCCGCGUGAGUGAAGAAGGCCUUCGGGUUGUAAAGCUCUUUCGGCCGGGAAGAAAUCGCACGGGCUAAUACCCUGUGUGGAUGACGGUACCGGAAUAAGAAGCACCGGCUAACUACGUGCCAGCAGCCGCCGUAACAC
rnacentral:rRNA from 1 species